GGGAGGCCUGGUGUCCCCACGUGGACCGGUUCCGGCUCUCUGAGACAGAAACAUCCAACAGCAUCUGCUGGUCCUUGUCCUUCACAGCCGCUCUGGGAAGGCUCCAAAGUCUGCCAUUUCAUACCAGCUAACUGGGCAUGAACCUGCCUGCUGGUGUGUCCGGGAAAGGAGAGGGAGACGGAGAAAGAGAGCGAGAGACGGGCACCCCAGCAGGUCUCCUCUUGCUGCGAUCCAUUUCCCGGCCCUCCAGCUCGUCAAGGCCUCGGGCUGGCGUGUUCCAGGUUGACUCCGCUCCACACCGGCGCUGGCUGCCCGCUUCCAGCAC